rnacentral:rRNA from 1 species
UACGGAGGAGGCAAGCGUUAUCCGGAAUUAUUGGGCGUAAAGCGUCCGUAGGUGGCUCUUCAAGUCUGCUGUCAAAGAGUGGGGCUUAACCCUGCAAAGGCAGUGGAAACUGAAAGGCUAGAGAGCCGUAGGGGUAGAGGGAAUUCCCGGUGUAGCGGUGAAAUGCGUAGAUAUGCGGAGGAACACCGAUGGCGAAGGCAAUCCCCUGGACCUGUACUGACGCUCAUGCACGAAAGCGUGGGGAGCAAACAGG